rnacentral:lncRNA from 1 species
GAAGACUUAACGUGCUCAACUGGAAACAGGUGCUCAGCAGUUAGGUGUAGUAACACACGAGGAUAUGUCCGUGUGUUCAUAAUGACUGGCCCUUGACACCUCCAUGGCUUACUCUCCGUCCUCUUUCUUUCGUCUUUUUUUCUCUACUGUGCCUAUAGUGAAGUGGCAAUGUAUUCACUGUCUUAGUUUGCAGUGCUCAGGAACGGGAUGUUCGUUUGAAGGUCUUGUCUGUUACGGAAGCUCAGCUAGGUUUACCUCUUUAAUAGAUGCAGUGGCUCAGCUAACACUACAUUCUAGUUCUCCAGACUCUGGUUAAAGCCUUUGUCUCCUC